AGUGACGUUGCGAUCAUCUAUUGGCCACACGUCUUCACGUGAUCCGAUUACGCAGGUCAGAGUGCACCAAAUUUCAUCACGUAGCUUGCUUGUGUUUCCGGUCUGCCGUUUUCGGAUGCGUUUGCGCGCUAAAUCCAAGUGUGACCACCCCCAUGACUGGCGAGGAAUUGGAGGUUUCUUUUGGAGGAAGACAGUGUGGAUUGAGCCGAGGAGCAUUUCAGCAUGGAGUGAAGAUAGAUUAAAUUACAAAUGUAGAGAGCCUAUUUUCCUGUGGAACGCUACCCCACAUGCUCACCUGCUGUGGAUAGCUGGUUCCAGCAGACUGAGCAGAUGUGUGACCAGGCCCGCCAACAUCUAGAGCAUGCAGCCCAAACAAGCAAGAAAUUUGCGGAUAACGUGGAGAGACAACCAGCUACAAACCAAGUAUGGCUUUCUACCAGAGACCUACGGGUCACAGAGGGAAGCCGAAAAUUGUCACACAAAUUCACCGGCCUAUUCAAAGACCUCCAUAGAAUAAACCACAUCACCUACAAGCUGUAAUUACCAUGACAAGUUGCUUAGCCCUAUGGUUCCAUGUUUCCCAUCUCAAACUAGUCACUUCAGGUCCCCUCACAGAGGGCAGUCUCCCCUCCACCCCCCCAGAACCCCUGGACAUUAAAGGCCAUAUAAGAGAUACAGGAUUCACAAUGUCGAGAUGGUAAACUGCACUACCCCCUACUGGGUUGGGACUUUCAUGCAUGCCACCCCAAUCGUCUAGGUCCAUGUGCUAAGACACUUCGCAAAUACUCGUAUCAAAGUAUAUGCUCUGCAUCAUUGCCAGUCAAUACCAAGCCUUGAUUUACUGUUUGCUUAAGUGGAAUGAUCUAGUUUGUGUUAUUCAUGUUUUCUCUCUUGCUUGCCCUUGUUUGUUGUUUGCUCAUUGCCUGUUUUUUGACCAUGCUUCUGGAUUACAUCUUUGUCUUGUUUGCCUCUAUUAAUAAAACCACUGAGUAUCUGCACAUGCAUCCUUAACUGUUUCCUGACAAGUACAAGUUACAGAAAAGGACAGAUGAUGGAAUCAUAAAUUUUGUAUGAAAUUCUAACAUUUCUGUUUACCAUGUUUGGUAUUCAGAGGAAACACAGUAUGGACCCAGUAGCGCAUUACAGACUUGAAACUCUAAAGAAAUAUAUCAGAAAUGCAGCUGCCUAGUGGCCUUCAAGUAUGUGUACUGUGUAAAUAUUUGCCCCACAUCAUUAUUGUUAUGCAUUAUUAUCAAUGAGAUCACGAUUUAAUUAACACUCAACCCUAAUAGUUUAAUUGUGUUUAAAAUAUUUUAUAGGAGCAGAUGAUUUUUGGUUUGAGAGGUUUACAAUUUAGCUUUACAAUUUAGUACAAUUUCUGUUAAUCAGUAAAGUGGUUUUCUACUAUGUUUUCAUAAUGCUCCAAUUUACAUGUCAG
ensembl:lncRNA